rnacentral:rRNA from 1 species
AACCUGCCUGGUAGCGGGGGAUAACUAUUGGAACACGAUAGCUAAUACCGCAUAAGAGUAGAUGUUGCAUGACAUUUGCUUAAAAGGUGCAAUUGCAUCACUACCAGAUGGACCUGCGUUGUAUUAGCUAGUUGGUGGGGUAACGGCUCACCAAGGCGACGAUACAUAGCCGACCUGAGAGGGUGAUCGGCCACACUGGGACUGAGACACGGCCCAGACUCCUACGGGAGGCAGCAGUAGGGAAUCUUCGGCAAUGGACGGAAGUCUGACCGGAGCAACGCCGCGUGAGUGAAGAAGGUUUUCGGAUCGUAAAGCUCUGUUGUAAGAGAAGAACGAGUGUGAGAGUGGAAAGUUCACACUGUGACGGUAUCUUACCAGAAAGGGACGGCUAACUACGUGCCAGCAGCCGCGGUAAUACGUAGGUCCCGAGCGUUGUCCGGAUUUAUUGGGCGUAAAGCGAGCGCAGGCGGUUAGAUAAGUCUGAAGUUAAAGGCUGUGGCUUAACCAUAGUACGCUUUGGAAACUGUUUAACUUGAGUGCAAGAGGGGAGAGUGGAAUUCCAUGUGUAGCGGUGAAAUGCGUAGAUACAUGGAGGAACACCGGUGGCGAAAGCGGCUCUCUGGCUUGUAACUGACGCUGAGGCUCGAAAGCGUGGGGAGCAAAC